ensembl:piRNA 21ur-3039 ncRNA
UGUUCGAGACAUCGUGGAAAA